rnacentral:rRNA from 1 species
UACGGAGGGUGCAAACGUUGCUCGGAAUCAUUGGGCGUAAAGCGCACGUAGGCGGUCCAGCAAGUCGGGUGUGAAAGCCCUCGGCUUAACCGAGGAAGUGCAUUCGAAACUACUGGGCUUGAGUACUGAAGAGGAUCGCGGAAUUCCCGGUGUAGAGGUGAAAUUCGUAGAUAUCGGGAGGAACACCAGUGGCGAAGGCGGCGAUCUGGGCAGAUACUGACGCUGAGACGCGAAAGCGUGGGGAGCGAACGGG